rnacentral:rRNA from 1 species
GAUGAACGCUGGCGGCGUGCUUAACACAUGCAAGUCGAACGAUGAAGCCCAGCUUGCUGGGUGGAUUAGUGGCGAACGGGCGAGUAACACGUGAGUAACCUGCCCUUAACUCUGGGAUAAGCCUGGGAAACUGGGUCUAAUACCGGACAGGAGCGCCUACCGCAUGGUGGGUGUUGGAAAGAUUUAUCGGUUUUGGAUGGACUCGCGGCCUAUCAGCUUGUUGGUGAGGUAAUGGCUCACCAAGGCGACGACGGGUAGCCGGCCUGAGAGGGUGACCGGCCACACUGGGACUGAGACACGGCCCAGACUCCUACGGGAGGCAGCAGUGGGGAAUAUUGCACAAUGGGCGAAAGCCUGAUGCAGCGACGCCGCGUGAGGGAUGACGGCCUUCGGGUUGUAAACCUCUUUCAGUAGGGAAGAAGCGAAAGUGACGGUACCUGCAGAAGAAGCACCGGCUAACUACGUG